CUAAUCUGCUUGAGGAUAGCAUCAAAUUGUCACAGCCUGAAAUUUUUCGUCUUUCACGACGGAUUGGGGGAGAAUAUGACGAACUUGGAAACCUCGCCUCCUUAAGCGUCCUUACAACUCAAUCAAAGAACGUAUCUCUAAAGUUCAAGUUUUGCAGUCACACAAUUGAACCCAAGAAUUGACAUUUUUAUAUGUUAUACACACAAAUAGUUAUUAAUUGGUCGGUAAUUUAAGUUAAUUACACAUUUAAUAGACAAAUAGAAAUGUGAUUUUUAAUGAAAUGUUUUGCACCUCAUUUAAUUGGUAGAAAUAGACCCUGCAUAAGAUGUAAUUUUGAGUCUUGUUAUAAUUCAUUAAUGUGUAUGGCAGUUAGGUGAAGCCAUUUAUAAUGAAGAUUCAUAUGUGAAAAUUA